CUGUGGGGGCUGGAGCGGGGUGAAGAGAGAUUAAAGCAAAGAGAAAGAAAACCGGGCCACCUUGCACUUCCUCUGCCCAAGUUCACCUGUUCUCACCCUUCCUCUUGGGCAAGGGGGCUUCACAAAGAGAACAGAAAAGAGGCCAUCAGGCUUCGUACUCCACUUGGACAGCAAAAGCUUUGCAGACGAAAGGUGAAGAGGAAGUCCCUUAUAUUCUACGUUCCAGAACUCAAGGUGGAGCCUACUUCCCUUCUCCUAGAAUGCAGGCUGGGCUUAGUGACAUGGGUCUAGAAUAAGGCAGAGGUGACACUGUAUGGCUAAGGAGACCAGAUCAUAAAAGGCACUGCGGUGUUCUCAAGACUCUCUCGGAAAAAGAAGACGAAGACGAAGAAGACAAAGCAAAUGAUGAAGAAGACGAAGACGAAGAUGAAGAAGAAGACAACGACUCUCUUGGAUCACCCACUCUGCAGGAAGCUGCCUGCCAUACUGUGAGGACCCCCAAGCAGGACUGUGGAGAGGCUCCUAGCGAAAGAAGCAAGAUUUCCUGCCAACAGCCACAGGAAGUCACCUCAGAAGUGGAUCCUCCAGCCCCAGCCAAACCUUCAGAUGACCAUGGCCCUCGCCCACAUCUGGACCCUGAGACAGAGUCAUCCAGCUGAGCUGCGCUCCAAUUCUGACCCACUGACUCUCUGCGUGAGGUUCCAGAAAAAGCAAAGGUACAUUCCUUGGAAGUCACUGAGUUGGUCAGGGUCAACCGAUCCAGUCAAAAGUGGUGAGAACCCAUUAAAUCUGACGGACCCGACCUGUGUCGGGAUUCCCGAGGAACCACCGAAGUGAGAGCUGAAGCAGCGAUACCCUUAAUAUAUUCUGCACUCGCUUGCUUUUAAAACAACAACAAAGCAUGUUGAGAUGACAGAAGAACGCUAGCCAUGCUUUCAGCGCUGUUCUUUUGAGCCUGACUUGUUGUUAGGAAGAUGGCCACUGAGAACUCGGAUGCAUCUAUGCUCGUUCAUUCCUUGCCUCUCUGCGGCUGGCCCCAGUGGACAAAAGGAGGAAGAAGAUGUGGUGAGAACUGGAAGGGGCGAGGGAAAGCGUGGGCCAUGCUGGAGGUGUUGGGGAAAGCAUCAGAGAUGGCACAGGAGAGAGAGAUGCCCCCAUGCCCGGCGAUGGUCAGGUGUGCAGGGUGGGCACAGACCAAACGGGGCCAGGCUCAGCCACUCAGGACCAGGACAGCCCAGGGCCUCCCUCUGUUCCCAGCCAGUGAAGGCCUGGCUCAGACAUGAGCCCACACGGCACGAUGCCCCCAAGAUUCCCGGCCACCACCACCAGCUCAGCCCUGAGCUGCACAGUAUCCCAGGCUUCUCUCCCACCGCCCAGAGAUGGCAAGAGACAGGGAGAUGGCCAGACUUCUGAGUCCAAGGCCCAACUUCACAUCCCGCCUUUGCCUAAGAGCUGCAACCACAACAUGUUCCCCCUAGCACUCUGAGACUCAGGCCCUGCCUCAGAAGCAGAGAAGGUGGGAUGGGGGAGGGGAGAGGUUCCUGGAUGGCUCAGUCCGUUAAGCGUCUGCAUGUUAAGCUCAGAUCAUGAUCCCAU